rnacentral:sRNA from 1 species
CAUUUUCAGGUGGUAUUACACAGACACGUGAGUUUAUUGGUCUUUUAUUUAUGCCCUGUCUGAGGAUGCAGAUUGGUGGGUAGAUGAGAAGGAACUGAUUGAGAGAGAUUAACCCCAAGAACUGAGAUCUUCCCAGCAUUGCAUUCUCAACCCCAUUUUAGAAAGGUUCCAAAUAAGGACUUCUGUGGGUUUUUCUUUACAUCCAUCUUACCCUUCCCAAGUCUCCAUGUCCCUGCGUAAACCCUAAAGCCACCUCUCAAAAGGUUCUCUGGUUCCCUUCAAGGUUCUCUAGUUCCCUUCAUUCCACAUAUCUCCUCUUCCACACCCUCUAGCCAGCAGAGCUCCCUUCUGACAAGCAAAUCUAAGACCUAGAUGACAGAUGACUUCCUGCAUUUGGGUGGUUCUUUUGUCACUAAUUUGCCUUUUCUAAAAUUGUCCUGGUUUCUUCUGCCAAUUUCCCUUAUUUCUCCCCAGCAUAUAAAGUCUCCAUCUCUGGAACCACAGUAAUACUAACAUGCCCUCAGUAUCCUGGAUCUGAAAUACUAUGGCAACACAAUGAUAAAAACAUAGAAAGUGAUGAGGAUCACCUGUCACUGACGGGAUUUUCAGAAUUGGAGCAAAGUGGUUAUUAUGUCUGCUACCCCAAAGGAAGCAAACCAGAAGAUGCGAGCUUUUAUCUCUACCUGAGGGCGAGAGUGUGUGAGAACUGCAUGGAGAUGGAUGUGAUGUCAGUGGCCACAAUUGUCAUAGUGGACAUCUGCAUCACUGGGGGCUUGCUGCUGCUGGUUUACUACUGGAGCAAGAAUCGAAAGGCCAAGGCCAAGCCUGUGACACGAGGAGCGGGUGCUGGCGGCAGGCAAAGGGGACAAAACAAGGAGAGGCCACCACCUGUUCCCAACCCAGACUAUGAGCCCAUCCGGAAAGGCCAGCAGGACCUGUAUUCUGGCCUGAAUCAGAGACGCAUCUGAUCCUCUGGAGAACACUGCCUCCCGCUGGCCCAGGUCUCCUCUCCAGUCCCCCUGCGACUCCCUGUUUCCUGGGCUAGUCUUGGACCCCACGAGAGAAUCAUUCCUCCGCCUCAUGGUGAACUCGCGCCCUCCAGCCUGAUCCCCAGCUCCCUCCUUCCUGCCUUCUCUGCUGGUACCCAGUCCUAAAACAUUGCUGCUUCCUCUUCCUUUGAAGCAUCAUCAGUAGUCACACCCUCACAGCUGGCCUGCCCUCUUGCCAGGAUUAUUUAUUUGUGCUAUUCACUCCCUUCCCUUUGGAUGUAACUUCUCCGUUCAGUUCCCUCCUUUUCUUGCAUGUAAGUUGUCCCCCAUCCCAAACUAUUCCAUCUACUUUUCUAUCGCCGUCCCCUUUUGCAACCCUCUCUGGGGAUGGACUGGGUAAAUGUUGACAGAGGCCCUGCCCU